rnacentral:rRNA from 1 species
CCUACGGGGGGCUGCAGCCGCGGUAAUACGUAGGGUGCGAGCGUUAAUCGGAAUUACUGGGCGUAAAGCGUGCGCAGGCGGUUAUAUAAGACAGAUGUGAAAUCCCCGGGCUCAACCUGGGAACUGCAUUUGUGACUGUAUAGCUAGAGUACGGCAGAGGGGGAUGGAAUUCCGCGUGUAGCAGUGAAAUGCGUAGAUAUGCGGAGGAACACCGAUGGCGAAGGCAAUCCCCUGGGCCUGUACUGACGCUCAUGCACGAAAGCGUGGGGAGCAAA